ACGUGACGGAAGUGGAUGUGCGCGAAUACCAUUGGUUCCCGACGCCUGAUGAGACGUGGAGGAAACGCAGUGAACUGAGGAGUUGUUUGUUCCUUUUAAUUACAAAUAAUACACAGACAGCCAACAGAGAUGGUGACUGAUGUACAGCUGGCCAUUUUCGCCAACAUGCUCGGCGUGUCACUCUUCCUGCUGGUGGUUCUUUACCACUACGUGGCCGUUAACAAUCCGAAGAAACUGGAGUGAAGCUGUAUGCAUGGAAGGUGUUUACCGCUCAGGCCUACGUGGAGUGCUGUCUGAUUUUGUAACGCUGGUGAAGAUCGGGACCAUGAUCGUGAAACGAUGACUUGCCUCGCUGGGAGGACUGUUUAAGCCAGUCUGUAAAUGUCUUUAUUAAAGUUGUUUUGAAUAAAUGCUUCAUGAAACAGUAA